GAUGAACGCUAGCGGCAGGCUUAAUACAUGCAAGUCGUGGGGCAGCAUGAAUGUAGCAAUACAUUUGAUGGCGACCGGCAAACGGGUGCGGAACACGUACACAACCUUCCUAUAAGUGGGGAAUAGCCCAGAGAAAUUUGGAUUAAUACCCCGUAACAUAAUGAUGUGGCAUCACAUUAUUAUUAUAGCUUCGGCGCUUAUUGAUGGGUGUGCGGCUGAUUAGAUAGUUGGCGGGGUAACGGCCCACCAAGUCUACGAUCAGUAGCUGAUGUGAGAGCAUGAUCAGCCAAACGGGCACUGAGACACGGGCCCGACUCCUACGGGAGGCAGCAGUAAGGAAUAUUGGUCAAUGGACGCAAGUCUGAACCAGCCAUGCCGCGUGAAGGAUUAGGGUCCUCUGGAUUGUAAACUUCUUUUAUCUGGGACGAAAAAAGGCGAUUCUUCGUCACUUGACGGUACCAGAUGAAUAAGCACCGUCUAACUCCGUGCCAGCCGCCGCUGUAACAC
rnacentral:rRNA from 1 species